CGCGGCCUAUCAGCUUGUUGGUGAGGUAACGGCUCACCAAGGCAUCGACGGGUAGCUGGUCUGAGAGGAUGAUCAGCCACACUGGGACUGAGACACGGCCCAGACUCCUAUGGGAGGCAGCAGUGGGGAAUAUUGCACAAUGGGCGAAAGCCUGAUGCAGCAACGCCGCGUGCGGGAUGAAGGCCCUAGGGUUGUAAACCGCUUUCAGCAGGGAAGAAAAUGACGGUACCUGUAGAAGAAGGUGCGGCCAACUACGUGCCAGCAGCCGCGGUGACACGUAGGCACCAAGCGUUGUCCGGAUUUAUUGGGCGUAAAGAGCUCGUAAGCGGUUCAGUAAGUCGGGUGUGAAAACUCUGGGCUCAACCCAGAGACGCCACCCGAUACUGCUGUGACUAGAGUGCGGUAGGGGAGCGGGGAAUUCCUAGUGUAGCGGUGAAAUGCGCAGAUAUUAGGAGGAACACCAGUGGCGAAGGCGCCGCUCUGGGCCGUAACUGACGCUGAGGAGCGAAAGCGUGGGUAGCAAACAGGAUUAGAUACCCUGGUAGUCCACGCCGUAAACGUUGGGCACUAGGUGUGGGUCUCAACCAACGAGAUCCGCGCCGUCGCUAACGCAUUAAGUGCCCCGCCUGGGGAGUACGG
rnacentral:rRNA from 1 species